rnacentral:antisense_RNA from 1 species
AUGAGGAAAUAGAAGUCCAGAUUGCUCAAAGCUAAUAAUGAUGACAGGAAUCAAAGCCAGAGACAGUAAUAAAUAUGGUUGUUUAUACCUCUGUACCUCAUAAAGACCUCCAAGCAUUCUGUACACCAGCUCAAGAUGACUUGCUUGAAAUGGAAAAAGGCUGUUUUCAGCAGUAGUUAGCCCCUAUACUGGCAGUGUUUCACAGAAAAGGAAAGUGAAGCUUGGAAAAGUGAAUCCACUUGCUCUAAGUGGCAGGAAGAGGUGGCAUUGAACCCCAGGGCUCUUGCAUUCAGUAACUCUUUUGGAAAGAGAAAAGUGCAGCUGACUGAACUGUGAAGCAAAGGAGCUAAGAAGUCUGGAUGCCAACCCCAAGGGUCCUGAAGAGGCCCACUGAGGAGCUCCUUACAGCAGAAAGCCCAUUUCUCAGAGGCACAUACAUGGUCCAG